rnacentral:rRNA from 1 species
GACGAACGCUGGCGGCGUGCUUAACACAUGCAAGUCGAGCGGUAAGGCCCCUUCGGGGGUACGACGAGCGGCGAACGGGUGAGUAACACGUGGGUGACCUGCCCUCAGUUCUGGGAUAAGCCUGGGAAACCGGGGUCUAAUACUGGAUAUGACCUCAUGACGCAUGUUGUGGGGUGGAAAGCCUUGUGCGACUGAGGAUGGGCCCGCGGCCUAUCAGCUUGUUGGUGGGGUGAUGGCCUACCAAGGCGACGACGGGUAGCCGGCCUGAGAGGGCGACCGGCCACACUGGGACUGAGACACGGCCCAGACUCCUACGGGAGGCAGCAGUGGGGAAUCUUGCGCAAUGGGCGAAAGCCUGACGCAGCGACGCCGCGUGAGGGAUGACGGCCU